rnacentral:rRNA from 1 species
CCUACGGGAGGCAGCAGUAAGGAAUAUUGGUCAAUGGACGCAAGUCUGAACCAGCCAUGCCGCGUGAAGGAUUAAGGCCCUCUGGGUUGUAAACUUCUUUUAUAGGGGACGAAAAAAGGGCAUUCUUGUUCACUUGACGGUACCCUAGGAAUAAGCACCGGCUAACUCCGUGCCAGCAGCCGCGGUAAUACGGAGGGUGCAAGCGUUAUCCGGAUUUACUGGGUUUAAAGGGUGCGUAGGUGGGUUGGUAAGUCAGUGGUGAAAUCUUCGAGCUUAACUCGGAAACUGCCAUUGAUACUAUCAAUCUUGAAUCAUCUAGAGGUAAGCGGAAUAUGUCAUGUAGCGGUGAAAUGCUUAGAUAUGACAUAGAACACCAAUUGCGAAGGCAGCUUACUAUGGAUAUAUUGACACUGAGGCACGAAAGCGUGGGGAUCAAACAGGAUUAGAUACCCUGGUAGUCCACGCCCUAAACGAUGGAUACUCGACAUUUGUGAUAUACUAUAAGUGUCUGAGCGAAAGCAUUAAGUAUCCCACCUGGGAAGUACGACCGCAAGGUUGAAACUCAAAUGAAAUUGACGGCUGAGAGNGCGAGACGACACGAGGGAGGAGG